AAACAACCCUAACCUCCAGCUAAGGCCCCUAAUUCAUGGCUAAGUGGGAAAGCAGGUGGGACGACCAAAACAACCAGGAGGUUGGCUUAGAAGCAGCCAUCCUUUAAAGAAAGCGUAAUAGCUCACUGGUCGAGUCGGCCUGCGCGGAAGAUGUAACGGGGCUAAACCAUGCACCGAAGCUGCGGCAGCGACACUAUGUGUUGUUGGGUAGGGGAGCGUUCUGUAAGCCGUUGAAGGUGGCCUGUGAGGGUUGCUGGAGGUAUCAGAAGUGCGAAUGCUGACAUAAGUAACGAUAAAGCGGGUGAAAAGCCCGCUCGCCGGAAGACCAAGGGUUCCUGUCCAACGUUAAUCGGGGCAGGGUGAGUCGACCCCUAAGGCGAGGCCGAAAGGCGUAGUCGAUGGGAAACAGGUUAAUAUUCCUGUACUCGGUGUUACUGCGAAGGGGGGACGGAGAAGGCUAUGUUAGCCGGGCGACGGUUGUCCCGGUUUAAGCAUGUAGGCGGGAAGUUUAGGUAAAUCCGGACUUCUUUUAACGCUGAGGUGUGAUGACGAGGCACUACGGUGCUGAAGUAACAAAUGCCCUGCUUCCAGGAAAAGCCUCUAAGCAUCAGGUAACAACGAAUCGUACCCCAAACCGACACAGGUGGUCAGGUAGAGAAUACCAAGGCGCUUGAGAGAACUCGGGUGAAGGAACUAGGCAAAAUGGUGCCGUAACUUCGGGAGAAGGCACGCUGAUGGUAGGUGAAGUGACUUGCUCAUGGAGCUGAAAUCAGUCGAAGAUACCAGCUGGCUGCAACUGUUUAUUAAAAACACAGCACUGUGCAAACACGAAAGUGGACGUAUACGGUGUGACGCCUGCCCGGUGCCGGAAGGUUAAUUGAUGGGGUUAUCCGUAAGGAGAAGCUCUUGAUCGAAGCCCCGGUAAACGGCGGCCGUAACAAUAACGGUCCUAAGGUAGCGAAAUUCCUUGUCGGGUAAGUUCCGACCUGCACGAAUGGCGUAAUGAUGGCCAGGCUGUCUCCACCCGAGACUCAGUGAAAUUGAACUCGCUGUGAAGAUGCAGUGUACCCGCGGCAAGACGGAAAGACCCCGUGAACCUUUACUAUAGCUUGACACUGAACAUUGAGCCUUGAUGUGUAGGAUAGGUGGGAGGCUUUGAAGCGUGGACGCCAGUCUGCGUGGAGCCAACCUUGAAAUACCACCCUUUAAUGUUUGAUGUUCUAACGUAGACCCGUGAUCCGGGUUGCGGACAGUGUCUGGUGGGUAGUUUGACUGGGGCGGUCUCCUCCCAAAGAGUAACGGAGGAGCACGAAGGUUAGCUAAUCCUGGUCGGACAUCAGGAGGUUAGUGCAAUGGCAUAAGCUAGCUUGACUGCGAGCGUGACGGCGCGAGCAGGUGCGAAAGCAGGUCAUAGUGAUCCGGUGGUUCUGAAUGGAAGGGCCAUCGCUCAACGGAUAAAAGGUACUCCGGGGAUAACAGGCUGAUACCGCCCAAGAGUUCAUAUCGACGGCGGUGUUUGGCACCUCGAUGUCGGCUCAUCACAUCCUGGGGCUGAAGUAGGUCCCAAGGGUAUGGCUGUUCGCCAUUUAAAGUGGUACGCGAGCUGGGUUUAGAACGUCGUGAGACAGUUCGGUCCCUAUCUGCCGUGGGCGCUGGAGAAUUGAGGGGGGCUGCUCCUAGUACGAGAGGACCGGAGUGGACGCAUCACUGGUGUUCGGGUUGUCAUGCCAAUGGCAUUGCCCGGUAGCUAAAUGCGGAAAAGAUAAGUGCUGAAAGCAUCUAAGCACGAAACUUGCCCCGAGAUGAGUUCUCCCUGACUCCUUGAGAGUCCUGAAGGAACGUUGAAGACGACGACGUUGAUAGGUCGGGUGUGUAAGCGUAGCGAUACGUUGAGCUAACCGAUACUAAUGAACCGUGAGGCUUAACC
rnacentral:rRNA from 1 species